rnacentral:rRNA from 1 species
CCUACGGGUGACUGCAGUGAGGAAUAUUGGUCAAUGGGCGCGAGCCUGAACCAGCCAAGUCGCGUGAGGGAAGACGGUCCUAUGGAUUGUAAACCUCUUCUGUCGGGGAGCAAAAGACGCCACGCGUGGCGUUCCGAGAGUACCCGAAGAAAAAGCAUCGGCUAACUCCGGGCCAGCAGCCGCGGUAAUACGGAGGAUGCGAGCGUUAUCCGGAUGUAUUGGGUUUAAAGGGUGCGCAGGCGGAAGAUCAAGUCAGCGGUAAAAUUGAGGGGCUCAACCUCUUCGAGCCGUUGAAACUGGUUUUCUUGAGUGAGCGAGAGGUAUGCGGAAUGCGUGGUGUAGCGGUGAAAUGCAUAGAUAUCACGCAGAACUCCGGUUGCGAAGGCAGCAUACCGGCGCUCAACUGACGCUCAUGCACGAAAGUGUGGGUAUCGAACAGGAUUAGAUACCCUAGUAGUC